GGGCCUAGAGUUCUGGGAGGCUGCUGGGAGGGCACUGCCAGCCUGCGGGCUGCUGCAGGCUCUUCCCGGGCGUGUAGUGCAGGUGGCCGCGCGUGGUGGCCCGCGGGGCUUUGAGUGGGCGGGGCCCUACACCAGCGAUAGCUUUAAGGGGAGGAGUACUCGUCAGGGACAACACUGUGCGGGUUAAUUUGGGAAGUGAUGGUUAAAGGUCAUGGCUUGAGACUCACUUGUGUUGUUAAUUUUGAUGGGGGUAGAGCUGGAAGCUGCUCCAGUUAACAGUGAGUUCUCAGUCUGGAGAGGUAAAGACACUUGAAUUGUAGGUACUGAUUUUGUUCCGCUAUGGGGGCUUUAUUUUGGUCCCGUGUGCUUCCGUUUGAGCAGUCGGUGGUGGAAUUACUAAUUUUUAAGAGCAUCAGAGUUACUUGAAAACGAUGGUGAAGGGAGCCUAAUGAGAGGAAAAGGGAGGAAUUCCUUUUUUACCUCGAGGAGUUUCGUUUCUAGAUCGUGGCAAAAGAGAAGCAGGAAAACAAAUCAAGGUGAACUGAAGAAAAUGAGCCUUUCCCCAGAGGAGAUAGAAGGUGGGGAAGAUGAGACGUCAGAAGAUAAGGGCAGUAGAGAUGAGGUGCCUGCGUGGGGGUCCUCUCCUUUGGUGUUUUACUUGAAUGCAGGGAGUUGGGACUCUACAGACACACUGAGCCACCUAAACAGUCGUUGACUUGACAAGCGUGCCAGGUAAUUCUGGUGCUGGGAGCUCUUUUACUGCACGCUGAGAAAUUCGUCCUGGAGAAAUCAGCACAGACGUUGACACGUGGGCCUGAGCAGAUCUUGCACUUGCUGACUGUGCAAUGUGACUGUCGCCUCCUGGCCACAGAGGAGACAUCUCUUCAUUGUUGUUCUUCCUCCUCUAGGUUGAUGUCCCUCAGAAAAAUGGUAGGAAGAUUACUACUGCUCCAGGAAAUAAAAUCGAGAAAAAAAAGUUUCUGGCUCCCAUGUUUGCUGAGAAGUUAAUAUCACCAUGCAGGAAGGGAGCCACAGGGGCCAAGGUGCCAAAAGACAGGAGGAGUGCCCUGCUCGAGAACCAUGAGAAGUGACUUGAGAACCCUGAGGAGGAUGAAGAGCCUAUGAAGAAAGCACCUGAUAAACCAGAAGGAGGAAAUGACCAAACAGAAUGCUUCCCCUGAAACCAAAAUUCAGAAAUUAGAAGAUGGAAAUGCCAAAACACUUUUGAUCAAGAACUUGCCUGACAGAGUCACUCAGCAUGAAUUAAUAGAAGUGUUUGAGGAUACUUUUCAAAUCAGAUUGGUGAGCAAGGAUGGGAUGAGUGAAAGGUAUGUCUUUGUACCUUGUACUGAAAAAGAAUAUAUGAUAACAGAAUUUCAUUGUAUUCUCCCAAAUCACUCAUACCGGAUUUUAGAGAAGGAAAAAGUAGUUAUCCAGCCUUUCUACCAGCAGGCAGAAAAAGCAUCAUAAAUGGAUAUCCAAAGGCUUCUAGAAGACUGUAGGGCUGUCAUAGAGAAAUGAAGACUUUAUUCUAUCAAGUACAAGAUUGAAGAUUAGAAGAAUCCACUCAUAGGUUAUCAUCAUCCUAUCUCUCCAGGGCUGACUACAGGAAAAUAACACCCUUGGCGACUUGUCUGGACAGGAUCGCCUCUAUUGACUUCAAGUCACAGGCCGAUGCAGAGAGAGCCUUGGAAGAGAAGCAAGGAACAGAGAUCGGUGGGCCUUCUGUAGUUCUGGAACUUGUCGGAGCAAAAAGCCAAGGCCAAGAUGAGAGAGACAGGAGGGAAAAAAGUGCAACUGGCAAAGUAAGGGUGUGACAGCUCUGUAGAUGGAGACUCGCCAGGUUUCCCAGGGAGGGGCUAGUAUGAGGUUAGGGGCACUUGGCACUGUUUUGUUUUUUGUUUUUUUUGGUUUUUUUGGCUGCGUUGGGUCUUCGUUGCUGCA